rnacentral:lncRNA from 10 species
CAAUCAAUAAAGCCUUUUUCAUCUUUAUGAAAUUUAUGGGCAUGCUCUUAUCUGUCUGGAACUGUACAUCCCAUUGUUUAUAUAGGAAACAUUUUUGUUUCUCAAAUGUAAAACAUGUUGGUUAUUAUAAAUUCCAACUUUAUAGAUACAAUUUUGUGACGAUUGUUAAUAAUGGAGUGUGGAUCCUUCUAAAUAGUUUGCUUCCCUUAGAGAAAAUGUAAACAUAUAGACUAACAAGAAUAUACAAACAGGUAUAUACAAACAUACAUACAGUACAUACAUGUGAAUAUCACAUGUUGAUUAACAGCUUCAACUUCAUAUGAAUAAUUCAUAAACCAGUUUCAUUUUUCUAUAAUCCAUGCUAUGUCAAAUCUCCUUUCCUUAGUGGGGAACAGAUCCCUAAUAAUAUCUUGGGCUGAUGCUACAGCAUUUCCAACACCUUAUUAUUAAGAGACAAAUUCAAUAAUUUCCAGUUGACCACUCAGAUCUCAUAUCUGAUGUAGAUUUCAUCUCCUCCACUUGCUGUGGGCCGUCCCUCCAGGGACCUGCAGUGGGUUUGCUCUUCAGCUUCUCCACCAAAUCAUUCACUUCAGUUGAAGAGGAGGACAAAGGAGUCUGGAGUCUAGCUUUUUUUUUUUUUUUUUUUUUUUUGAUGGUCUGAAUCUUUUGCCCAGGCUGGAGUGCAGUGGUGCUAUCUCAGCUCACUGCAACCUCCACCUUCCGGGUUCAAGCAAUUCCGAGUAGCUGGGACUGCAGGCGCCCGCCAUCGCACCCAGCUAAUUUUUGUAUUUUCAGUAGAGACAGGUUUUGCCAUGUUGCCCAGGCUGGUCUGAAACUCCAGACCUCAAGUGAUCCUCCUGCCUCAGCCUCCCAAAGUGCUGGGAUUACAGGGAUGAGCCACUGCGCCUGGCCAGGAGUCGGACUUAUCUUUUCCUUUACCUUAUUCAAGGUCUUAUGUGUCUGGUGUUGGGGGUUGAAGGGUGUAUGAGAGAGGAUUUGUCUUUAUUAACUGCCCACGGGCCUGGUUCUCUGUUGGUUGUUGCUGCUUCUCUCUUGCUCUGGCUAACUUUUAGAUAGCGAGAGUCUGAAAAUUUUCUCUCCUGUGGGCUCAACAAUAAGUUCUGCAGGCUCUUUUCCAGAGGGGAAUGCAUUGGGAAUGGAGAGGAUGCCUUGGAGCAACCCUUCUGCACAGCUCUCUGGAGUGGAGUUUGUCUCUGUAUCUUUGUGUCUAGCUUUCACAACCCCGUCAGCCUCUGUGCUCUUGCCAUCGGGGUCUCCUCAUGUCCUGGUCAACUCUCAUCUGUCUGCCGUUUGUCUCCAGUUCUGUCUUCACCUGUUCAUGCAGAUGCAUAGUUGAUGAAGCAACUACUUAGGCUAAAAUCCAAAAAAUUCUAAUUAGCUGUAGCUGACUUGAAGACAGUGCAAUUGUCAUUGAUUGUCCAGGUGGGCCCAAUUCAAUCACAAGGGUCUUUCCCUGUUACACCACAUGGUGGCAGCCUUGUCUCUCAUUUCCUUUUCUGUAUGUUCACAAUAGGGAUCUUGACUCCUUUCUGUUGCUUCGGUGGUUUUCGGCAAAUAGGCAAGGUCACUGAGGUAUGAAAUUUGUCUGCAGCUCUGUUCUAGGAUCCAGUCAUAUUUCACAGGUGCUGAGUUUGAAAGGCAACUGAAGAAGUGGUUUUCUGAUUUC